AUUGAACGCUGGCGGAAUGCUUUACACAUGCAAGUCGAACGGCAGCACGGGUGCUUGCACCUGGUGGCGAGUGGCGAACGGGUGAGUAAUGCACCGGAACGUAUCCAAUAAUGGGGGAUAACGCACCGAAAGGUGUGCUAAUACCGCAUACGCCCUGAGGGGGAAAGCGGGGGAUCGUAAGACCUCGCGUUAAUGGAGCGGCCGAUGCCGGAUUAGCUAGUUGGUGAGGUAAAGGCUCACCAAGGCGACGAUCCGUAGCUGGUCUGAGAGGACGACCAGCCACACUGGAACUGAGACACGGUCCAGACUCCUACGGGAGGCAGCAGUGGGGAAUUUUGGGACAAUGGGCGCAAGCCUGAUCCAGCCAUUCCGCGUGAGUGAAGAAGGCCUUCGGGUUGUAAAGCACUUUCUGAGGGAUGAGCAAGGACAGUACCUCAGGAAUAAGUCUCGGCUAACUACGUGCCAGCAGCCGCGGUAAU
rnacentral:rRNA from 1 species